GACGAACGCUGGCGGCGUGCUUAACACAUGCAAGUCGAACGGAAAGACCUGUUUCGGGGGGUACUCGAGUGGCGAACGGGCGAGUAACACGUAAGUAACCUGCCCUUGUCUUUGGCAUAACUACCGUCAACUGGGGCUAAUACCGGAUAGGAGCUCCUGCUGAAUGGUGGGGUUUGGAGAGUUUCGGCGGUUGGGGGUGGACUGGCGGCGUAUCAGCUUGUCGGUGGGGUAGUGGCUUACCAAGGCUUUAACGGGGAGCCGGCCUGUGAGGGUGACCGGCGACACUGGCACUGAGAGAAGGCCGAGACAGCGACGGUAGGCAGCAGUGGGGAAGAUUGCACAAGCGGUGCAGGCCGGAUGCAGCAGGUCCGUGUGUGGGAUGACGGUGUUCGGGUGGUAAACCGCAUGCGCUAGUGACGAAGCUUUGUGUGACGGUAGUGGGUAAAGAAGCACCGGCUAACUACGUG
rnacentral:rRNA from 1 species